AUGAACGCUGGCGGCGUGCCUAAUACAUGCCAGUAGAACGCUGAAGGCAGGAGCUUGCUCUUUCCGGAUGAGUUGCGAACGGGUGAGUAACGCGUAGGUAACCUGCCUGGUAGCGGGGGAUAACUAUUGGAAACGAUAGCUAAUACCGCAUAACAGUAGAUGUUGCCUGACAACUAUUUGAAAGGGGCAAUUGCUCCACUACCAGAUGGACCUGCGUUGUAUUAGCUAGUUGGUGAGGUAACGGCUCACCAAGGCGACGAUACAUAGCCGACCUGAGAGGGGGGUCGGCCACACUGGGACUGAGACACGGCCCAGACUCCUACGGGAGGCAGCAGGAGGGAAUCUUCGGCAAUGGACGGAAGUCUGACCGGGCAACGCCGCGGGAGUGAAUAAGGUUUUCGGAUCGUAAAGCUCUGUUGUAAGAGGAGAACGAGUGUGGGAGUGGAAAGUGCACACUGUGACGGUAUCUUACCAGAAAGGGACGGCUAACUACGUG
rnacentral:rRNA from 1 species